rnacentral:rRNA from 1 species
UUAAGCGACUAAGCGUACACGGUGGAUGCCCUGGCAGUCAGAGGCGAUGAAGGACGUGCUAAUCUGCGAAAAGCGUCGGUAAGGUGAUAUGAACCGUUAUAGCCGGCGAUGUCCGAAUGGGGAAACCCAGUGCAAUUCGUUGCACUAUCGUUAACUGAAUACAUAGGUUAACGAGGCGAACCGGGGGAACUGAAACAUCUAAGUACCCCGAGGAAAAGAAAUCAACCGAGAUUCCCCCAGUAGCGGCGAGCGAACGGGGAGCAGCCCAGAGUCUGAAUCAGCUUGUGUGUUAGUGGAACGGUCUGGAAAGUCCGACGGUACAGGGUGAUAGUCCCGUACACCAAAAUGCACAGGCUGUGAACUCGAAGAGUAGGGCGGGACACGUGGUAUCCUGUCUGAAUAUGGGGGGACCAUCCUCCAAGGCUAAAUACUCCUGACUGACCGAUAGUGAACCAGUACCGUGAGGGAAAGGCGAAAAGAACCCCGGCGAGGGGAGUGAAAAAGAACCUGAAACCGUGUACGUACAAGCAGUGGGAGCACCUUCGGGUGUGACUGCGUACCUUUUGUAUAAUGGGUCAGCGACUUAUAUUCUGUAGCAAGGUUAACCGUAUAGGGGAGCCGCAGGGAAACCGAGUCUUAACUGGGCGUUAAGUUGCAGGGUAUAGACCCGAAACCCGGUGAUCUAGCCAUGGGCAGGUUGAAGGUUGGGUAACACUAACUGGAGGACCGAACCGACUAAUGUUGAAAAAUUAGCGGAUGACUUGUGGCUGGGGGUGAAAGGCCAAUCAAACCGGGAGAUAGCUGGUUCUCCCCGAAAGCUAUUUAGGUAGCGCCUCGUGAAUUCAUCUUCGGGGGUAGAGCACUGUUUCGGCUAGGGGGUCAUCCCGACUUACCAACCCGAUGCAAACUACGAAUACCGAAGAAUGUUAUCACGGGAGACACACGGCGGGUGCUAACGUCCGUCGUGAAGAGGGAAACAACCCAGACCGCCAGCUAAGGUCCCAAAGUCAUGGUUAAGUGGGAAACGAUGUGGGAAGGCACAGACAGCCAGGAUGUUGGCUUAGAAGCAGCCAUCAUUUAAAGAAAGCGUAAUAGCUCACUGGUCGAGUCGGCCUGCGCGGAAGAUGUAACGGGGCUAAACCAUGCACCGAAGCUGCGGCAGCGACACUAUGUGUUGUUGGGUAGGGGAGCGUUCUGUAAGCCUGCGAAGGUGACCUGUGAGGGUUGCUGGAGGUAUCAGAAGUGCGAAUGCUGACAUAAGUAACGAUAAAGCGGGUGAAAAGCCCGCUCGCCGGAAGACCAAGGGUUCCUGUCCAACGUUAAUCGGGGCAGGGUGAGUCGACCCCUAAGGCGAGGCCGAAAGGCGUAGUCGAUGGGAAACAGGUUAAUAUUCCUGUACUUGGUGUUACUGCGAAGGGGGGACGGAGAAGGCUAUGUUAGCCGGGCGACGGUUGUCCCGGUUUAAGCAUGUAGGCUGGUUAUCCAGGCAAAUCCGGAUAAUCAAGGCUGAGGUGUGAUGACGAGGCACUACGGUGCUGAAGUAACAAAUGCCCUGCUUCCAGGAAAAGCCUCUAAGCAUCAGGUAACAUCAAAUCGUACCCCAAACCGACACAGGUGGUCAGGUAGAGAAUACCAAGGCGCUUGAGAGAACUCGGGUGAAGGAACUAGGCAAAAUGGUGCCGUAACUUCGGGAGAAGGCACGCUGGUGUGUAGGUGAAGUCCCUGCGGAUGGAGCUGAGACCAGUCGAAGAUACCAGCUGGCUGCAACUGUUUAUUAAAAACACAGCACUGUGCAAACACGAAAGUGGACGUAUACGGUGUGACGCCUGCCCGGUGCCGGAAGGUUAAUUGAUGGGGUUAUCCGUAAGGAGAAGCUCUUGAUCGAAGCCCCGGUAAACGGCGGCCGUAACUAUAACGGUCCUAAGGUAGCGAAAUUCCUUGUCGGGUAAGUUCCGACCUGCACGAAUGGCGUAAUGAUGGCCAGGCUGUCUCCACCCGAGACUCAGUGAAAUUGAACUCGCUGUGAAGAUGCAGUGUACCCGCGGCAAGACGGAAAGACCCCGUGAACCUUUACUAUAGCUUGACACUGAACAUUGAGCCUUGAUGUGUAGGAUAGGUGGGAGGCUUUGAAGCGUGGACGCCAGUCUGCGUGGAGCCAACCUUGAAAUACCACCCUUUAAUGUUUGAUGUUCUAACGUUGGCCCCUUACCGGGGUUGCGGACAGUGUCUGGUGGGUAGUUUGACUGGGGCGGUCUCCUCCCAAAGCGUAACGGAGGAGCACGAAGGUUAGCUAAUCCUGGUCGGACAUCAGGAGGUUAGUGCAAUGGCAUAAGCUAGCUUGACUGCGAGCGUGACGGCGCGAGCAGGUGCGAAAGCAGGUCAUAGUGAUCCGGUGGUUCUGAAUGGAAGGGCCAUCGCUCAACGGAUAAAAGGUACUCCGGGGAUAACAGGCUGAUACCGCCCAAGAGUUCAUAUCGACGGCGGUGUUUGGCACCUCGAUGUCGGCUCAUCACAUCCUGGGGCUGAAGUAGGUCCCAAGGGUAUGGCUGUUCGCCAUUUAAAGUGGUACGCGAGCUGGGUUUAGAACGUCGUGAGACAGUUCGGUCCCUAUCUGCCGUGGGCGCUGGAGAAUUGAGGGGGGCUGCUCCUAGUACGAGAGGACCGGAGUGGACGCAUCACUGGUGUUCGGGUUGUCAUGCCAAUGGCACUGCCCGGUAGCUAAAUGCGGAAGAGAUAAGUGCUGAAAGCAUCUAAGCACGAAACUUGCCCCGAGAUGAGUUCUCCCUGAGACUUUAAGUCUCCUGAAGGAACGUUGAAGACGACGACGUUGAUAGGCCGGGUGUGUAAGCGCAGCGAUGCGUUGAGCUAACCGGUACUAAUGAACCGUGAGGCUUAACCUU